UAGCACAGAGAGCUUGCUCUCGGGUGACGAGUGGCGGACGGGUGAGUAAUGUCUGGGAAACUGCCUGAUGGAGGGGGAUAACUACUGGAAACGGUAGCUAAUACCGCAUAACGUCGCAAGACCAAAGAGGGGGACCUUCGGGCCUCUUGCCAUCAGAUGUGCCCAGAUGGGAUUAGCUAGUAGGUGGGGUAACGGCUCACCUAGGCGACGAUCCCUAGCUGGUCUGAGAGGAUGACCAGCCACACUGGAACUGAGACACGGUCCAGACUCCUACGGGAGGCAGCAGUGGGGAAUAUUGCACAAUGGGCGCAAGCCUGAUGCAGCCAUGCCGCGUGUAUGAAGAAGGCCUUCGGGUUGUAAAGUACUUUCAGCGGGGAGGAAGGUGUUGUGGUUAAUAACCGCAGCAAUUGACGUUACCCGCAGAAGAAGCACCGGCUAACUCCGUGCCAGCAGCCGCGGUAAUACAGAGGGUGCAAGCGUUAAUCGGAAUUACUGGGCGUAAAGCGCACGCAGGCGGUCUGUCAACUCGGAUGUGAAAUCCCCGGGCUCAACCUGGGAACUGCAUUCGAAACUGGCAAGCUACAGUCUUGUAUAGGGAGGGUACAAUUCCAGGUGUAGCGGUGAAAUGCGUAGAGAUCUGGAGGAAUACCGGUGGCGAAGGCGGCCCCCUGGACAAAGACUGACGCUCAGGUGCGAAAGCGUGGGGAGCAAACAGGAUUAGAUACCCUGGUAGUCCACGCCGUAAACGAUGUCGACUUGGAGGUUGUGCCCUUGAGGCGUGGCUUCCGGAGCUAACGCGUUAAGUCGACCGCCUGGGGAGUACGGCCGCAAGGUUAAAACUCAAAUGAAUUGACGGGGGCCCGCACAAGCGGUGGAGCAUGUGGUUUAAUUCGAUGCAACGCGAAGAACCUUACCUACUCUUGACAUCCAGAGAACUUUCCAGAGAUGGAUUGGUGCCUUCGGGAACUCUGAGACAGGUGCUGCAUGGCUGUCGUCAGCUCGUGUUGUGAAAUGUUGGGUUAAGUCCCGCAACGAGCGCAACCCUUAUCCUUUGUUGCCAGCGGUUAGGCCGGGAACUCAAAGGAGACUGCCAGUGAUAAACUGGAGGAAGGUGGGGAUGACGUCAAGUCAUCAUGGCCCUUACGAGUAGGGCUACACACGUGCUACAAUGGCGCAUACAAAGAGAAGCGACCUCGCGAGAGCAAGCGGACCUCAUAAAGUGCGUCGUAGUCCGGAUUGGAGUCUGCAACUCGACUCCAUGAAGUCGGAAUCGCUAGUAAUCGUAGAUCAGAAUGCUACGGUGAAUACGUUCCCGGGCCUUGUACACACCGCCCGUCACACCAUGGGAGUGGGUUGCAAAAGAAGUAGGUAGCUUAACCUU
rnacentral:rRNA from 1 species